CGGAACGGGUGAGUAACGCGUGAGGAACCUGCCUCAAAGAGGGGGACAACAGUUGGAAACGACUGCUAAUACCGCAUAGGCCCACGGCUCGGCAUCGAGCAGAGGGAAAAGGAGCAAUCCGCUUUGAGAUGGCCUCGCGUCCGAUUAGCUAGUUGGUGAGGUAACGGCCCACCAAGGCGACGAUCGGUAGCCGGACUGGGAGGUUGAACGGCCACAUUGGGACUGAGACACGGCCCAG
rnacentral:rRNA from 1 species